CUCUCUGCUCUUUGAGUCCGACCCCGAGGUCGACCUGGGUCUGAGGGAGAGGGUGUCCCACGCCCUGAGAGAUGCCUCUCUGCCCGUGGACUGGAGCUCGCUCAGCUUCACACCUGGUGAGUAGCGACCUUUGACCCGAGGCGCCCCCUACUGGUCAGGAGGAGGAUUUCAGGAUGUUUGUGAACUGAUGUGAUGUCAUUGUUUCCACAGGAGAGACGUCCACGUCCUCACUGCUCCUGAAGGACCAGUCCAAUGAACCGGAUUCCCACAACGAGCUGGAGGUGUUUACGGCUGAUCCGGCGGCUGAUCGUCUGGUCCCGGUGGAUCCCCUCGCCCCAUCCGAGAAGGAGAAUGCCCUGGUCACGCUGCUGGAUGGUUCUGAUGGAGCGGCAACACCGAGCAGCCGUCCUCUAUCCUCAGUGGAACACGAAGAAGAGUCGCUCAUCAUCGAACACAAGAUUGAAACCAUUUACAACAAGGAAACUGGAGAACUGGUCCGAGGCUACCACCCCACGCCUCCAGGAAUACUCGGACCAGGGACGGACGGUCCAAACAUCCAAGGAGAAGAAGAAGAAACAACCUUUUCCACAGAAAGUCCUGAGGAGAGCAAAGAAGACAUCGUUGUUCCAGAUGAAGAACCUGAAGUCACACUGCUGGAACCAGAGGAGUCUUUGCACAUUGAGCCUGAAGACGAAGAAGAAGAAGAGCAGGAGGUCUUACAACCAACGCCAGAAGAAAUAAUUGUUACAGCACCAGAAGUAAAGAAAUCAGAAGAUUCUGAAUCAGAGGAAACAUCUAAGCUGGAUGAAGACUCCCAAACAGCAGCUGAUGACUCUGAGGUCAGAGACGACGUGAGCAAACAGGUCAAGGUUCUACAGUCAGAAGAAGAACCUGAAGAAGACAUCGUCAUUUUUGACUCAGAAGAAAUCGCAGUGAACCUUCGGGACAGCGACGAGGAGGAGGAGGUCCAAGAGUCAAAGCCAGGUGACGUUUGGACAGACGGAGACGAUGUCUUCCAACCAGAUGUAGGAAUACUUGAUGCUACACUGGAAGUCCAACCUCCAAUUGUGGAGACAUCGGUCAGUCGAGAGGAGGUUAUUCCUCCCGAACCAGACGAGAAGGUUCAGGAUUUAGAAGAACCAGAAACAUUGGAACCAGAGGGAGAAGCUGUAGACACUUUGGUGGAUGUUUUGGGUAAAAGUGAAAAAGAUGUUGAAGCCCAAACAGUCGGUGAUAUUGAAUCACUUGAACUAGAAACAGAACUAGAAGUUACUGAACUCAUCCCAGGAGGACAAGAAGAACAAGGAUUGGAUGGACCAUCUGCAGUACCUGAACUUCAACCAGAAACUGAAGGAGAACAACCAGAGUUUGUUGUUACUCAAGAACCGCAGGUGGUCGAUGUUUCCACACCAGACGAUGAGCUUUCUGAAGAAUCAGAACCAAAGGAAGACGUCACUGAUCCACCAGCCGAGGCCAUCAAAGUCCUGCAGGUCCCUGACCAUCUUGGCUUUGAAGAAGAUCAUGUUCAGGAGUCCGACCCGUAUCUCCAGAACAAUCUGCCUGUGGAGACAAUGGAGGUUCGACCUGAAAGCAAACACGAGGCACCAGACUCUGAACUUUUCCUCACCGUGGAAGGAGGAGAAAGCACCGAC
ensembl:lncRNA